GUAGGGUGCGAGCGUUAAUCGGAAUUACUGGGCGUAAAGCGUGCGCAGGCGGUUAUAUAAGACAGAUGUGAAAUCCCCGGGCUCAACCUGGGACCUGCAUUUGUGACUGUAUAGCUAGAGUACGGUAGAGGGGGAUGGAAUUCCGCGUGUAGCAGUGAAAUGCGUAGAUAUGCGGAGGAACACCGAUGGCGAAGGCAAUCCCCUGGACCUGUACUGACGCUCAUGCACGAAAGCGUGGGGAGCAAACAGGAUUAGAUACCCUGGUAGUCCACGCCCUAAACGAUGUCAACUGGCUGUUGGGUCUUCACUGACUCAGUAACGAAGCUAACGCGUGAAGUUGACCGCCUGGGGAGUACGGCCGCAAGGUUG
rnacentral:rRNA from 1 species